rnacentral:rRNA from 1 species
UACGAAGGGGGGCUAGCGUUGCUCGGAAUUACUGGGCGUAAAGCGCACGUAGGCGGCUUUCUAAGUCGGCUGUGAAAGCCUGGGGCUCAACCCCAGAGGGUCGGCCGAUACUGGCAAGCUAGAGUACGGAAGAGGUAGCUGGAAUUCCUGGUGUAGCGGUGAAAUGCGCAGAUAUCAGGAGGAACACCGGUGGCGAAGGCGGGUCUCUGGGCCGAUACUGACGCUGAGGAGCGAAAAGCGUGGGGGAGCGAACAGG